rnacentral:rRNA from 1 species
UACGUAGGGACCGAGCGUUGUCCGGAAUCAUUGGGCGUAAAGCGCGCGUAGGCGGCCCCGUAAGUCCGCUGUGAAAGUCAAAGGCUCAACCUUUGAAAGCCGGUGGAUACUGUGGGGCUAGAGUCCGGAAGAGGCGAGUGGAAUUCCUGGUGUAGCGGUGGAAUGCGCAGAUAUCAGGAGGAACACCAAUAGCGAAGGCAGCUCGCUGGGACGGUACUGACGCUAAGGCGCGAAAGCGUGGGGAGCGAACAGG